rnacentral:rRNA from 1 species
UACGGAGGGUGCGAGCGUUAAUCGGAAUUACUGGGCGUAAAGCGCGCGUAGGCGGCUGGGUAAGUCGGAUGUGAAAGCCCUGGGCUUAACCUGGGAAUGGCAUUCGAUACUGCCCGACUAGAGUAUGGUAGAGGAAAGCGGAAUUCCCGGUGUAGCGGUGAAAUGCGUAGAUAUCGGGAGGAACAUCAGUGGCGAAGGCGGCUUUCUGGACCAAUACUGACGCUGAGGCGCGAAAGCGUGGGUAGCAAACAGGAUUAGAUACCCUGGUAGUCCACGCCCUAAACGAUGUCAACUAGCCGUUGGGUUCAUUAAAGAGCUUAGUGGCGCAGCUAACGCGAUAAGUUGACCGCCUGGGGAGUACGGCCGCAAGGCUA